rnacentral:misc_RNA from 1 species
GCUCCUGCUCCUGCUCCUGCUCUCCCCUCUCCCUCUUAGUCGUUGUUCCUUCUGCUCUCUCCCUCUUCCCCUUCGUUUUUGCGGUCUUUUCCUUCACUUUCCCUCUCUCUGAUAUGCUUUUUGGUUACGACGAAAGUACGAGAUACAUACACUCCGACAAUUAAACAAUAAUUUGUGAGUUGCAGAAGUCAUGGAGAGUGCUGGUACUGGUACUGUGGAUGAGGGAAGGUCUCCUUUAAAGUGACGCUUAUCUCUGAUCCCAAGCUCCUUUUCAAGAUGCGCAUAUAAUUCUUUCAAUUUUAGC